AUGAGCCCUGGGGAGGACGCGGCGAGGCCCGGGCGCUUCUUCGGCGUCUAUCUGCUCUACUGCCUGAACCCUCGGCACCGGGGUCGCGUCUACGUGGGGUUCACCGUCAACCCUACUCGUAGAGUCCAGCAGCACAACGGGGGCCGCAAGAAAGGAGGGGCCUGGCGGACCAGCGGGCGCGGGCCCUGGGCGAUGGUGCUUAUCGUGCACGGCUUCCCUUCCGCCGUGGCUGCCCUUCGGUUCGAGUGGGCCUGGCAGCACCCGCAAGCCUCACGCCGCCUGGCUCACGUGGGCCCGCGCCUGCGCAGCGAGGCCGCCUUCGCUUUCCACCUGCGCGUGCUGGCGCACAUGCUGCGCGUGCCGCCUUGGGUGCGCCUCCCGCUCACCGUGCGCUGGCUGCGCGCCGACUUCCGAUGUGACCUCUGCCCACCGCCACCGCCGCACAUGCCGCUGACCUUUGGGCCUCCGCCGCCCCGCGCCGCGGCCCCGAAGCGCCGCGCCGGACCCUUAGCUGACCUGGAGUCCGAGCCUGACCAAGAUGCCGAGGCCUGCUGCGCCCUGUGCGCGCGCUCCUUCCAGGAUGAAGAGGGCCCCCUGUGCUGCCCCCACCCUGGCUGCCGCCUCAGGGCCCACGUGAUCUGCCUUGCAGAGGAGUUCCUGGAGAAGGAGCCAGGGCAGCUUCUGCCCCUAGAGGGUCAAUGCCCUGGCUGUAAGAACUCACUGCUGUGGGGAGACCUGAUCUGGCUGUGCCAGAUGGGCACCGAGGAGGAAGAAGAGAACUUGGAAUUAGAAGAGGAACACUGGACAGACAUGCUGGAGACCUGAUCCUCCGCCCACUGCUUGUUUGUGCCACUCCUAGCCCCUUCAGACCCAGUGAGAGAAAAGCACCUUCUGGGGGCCAUGGUUCUUUUACCAACCAUGAAUGAAUCUCCAUGAAAUCCCUUGGGAAUCAUGAAGCUGGACUCACUCCCAGGGUUAUUAGACUCCGUAUUCUUCCUCCCUUUUCUGCUCCACCCCCGACUCUGUCACGCUGCCCACCCACAUUGCUCUGUACUGGCCUUGCUGUCAGAGGUCAAGAGUAACAGUUUUUAGAAUCCCUGGGCUGCUGGGGGCCUGUGCGCCACCCCCGGCCUGAACCUUUGGCAUCUCCAAGACUGGCCUGUCAGGAAGGACGGCCAGAUCCCAGUGCUAGCUCCAGAGACCUCCCACUUUGGACUUAGAAACGCUUCAGCUCAGAAAGCAGUUCUGUACUCCCCACAACUGCACCCAGUAAGCCACAGCACAAAGGAGCCACAAGGCCAAGAUCCAGAGAG